rnacentral:rRNA from 1 species
UACAGAGGGGGCAAGCGUUAUUCGGAAUUAUUGGGCGGAAAGGGCGCGUAGGCGGCUUGGCAAGUGGAAGGUGAAAUCCCUCGGCUUAACCGAGGAACUGCCCUCCAAACUGCUUCGCUUGAGACCGGGAGAGGUGAGUGGAAUUCCCAGUGUAGCGGUGAAAUGCGUAGAUAUUGGGAGGAACACCAGUGGCGAAGGCGGCUCACUGGACCGGUACUGACGCUGAUGCGCGAAAGCGUGGGGAGCAAACGGG